UAAAUGUAGUUUUGAUGGAUGGAAACCAUUAUGAAAACGACUUGAUUAUGACCGCGCUAAAUUUGAGAAUUUAAGCGAGCAAUGUUUUUGAAAUAUUUGUUACUUCACUUCAAAUUUUGAAUAUCGGAGCAAAAUUUUCUGCCUAUGUUAAAGAUAUACAGAUAUAUAAAGUUGUUGUGAUGGUGAAUGGCACCGAUAGAAAGCGAGAAGUCCCAAAGAAGGUUGGCAGACAGAGUCAAAGGAAUUAAACUGCACAUUUUGCCCUAUUACGGUAUUAAAUACAUCCAUGUCGAUUGAUGAGCAAGAAAAUAAAUUGAACGAUUAUAUAGAAGAUUUUCUACUCAAAGUAAAGAACAGGCGUGAAAGAAUAUUAAAAUGCAUUCAAAAAGCCAAAGCACAGACUGCAAAUGCUUAUAAGAGUCCAAGCAUUGAAGUUGUUAAGGACAAGUUUUUCAUUUCCUAAGCACAACCAGUGGUGUCAAACUAGAUCCCAUCCUUCAAGAUCAUUGGCAUAUCCAGGUUUGCAAGUUUUUUUCCAGCUUUCCACUACAUCAAUAUAUCAUUCCAUUUCUUGAAAUGUUGUUUUUUACCUUGUUCAGAAUGUACGCCAAAUGAAAUUUAAAGAAUUUCUAAACAACGCAGGAAAUGUUGAUUGAGCCAUUACUGCGCAGGUGACAGCGUACAUAACAGAGCUUCAAGCAUCAGGAUCAGUGACUGACAACAUGUCUGUUAAGUCAAGUUUAGAAUGAACUGUUAUAAUUUGUGUUUGUCAACAACCAUAUGUGAUGUUUUGUCUUCCAGAGUGGCGGACGCUGAAGGAGGGAGAAAGUCACUAUCUUACAUUGCCUUUGUCAAAUCUCUCUUGUAAAAUCAAUAGCUCAGAUUUUGAAAUAUGAGCCAGCAAAACUUCUACUACAAUCUGUGUCGUUAUUUCGCUAUGAAACUUUACAAAAACUUCGCUCGUGAAUUGUUCGUGUUAAAAGUAUGAGAGCUCCAAAACCUGGGGAGAGAGUGAUACCCAUGACUGGAUCACCGCUGACCAAUGAUGUUGCGCCCUUGGACAACAAUGCUCCGAAGGGCAUCAUAGUAUUAACAGGUGGUAAGAUGACUAACUGCUAGUGAUUUGGUCAACUACCUGCAAAUUAGUAAGGGUAGAGCACGAUCAUGUGUGCUCUAUGGGAUUGAGAGACCCUCGCGUUAGAUAAAAUUUCACUCACUCGGGCACCGUCAUAGAACAAUGCAUGGCCAAAGCCAGAAGGGAUUACUUAUGGUACUGAAUUUAAGAUGCUGUAUUCUUAUACAAGUAUCUUUAGUUUACAGCUGAUGAUUGUUUUCAACGAGUAUUUGAGAUGUGUUCCAUGUAAAGGCAGGUUUUAGUUCAAAACCUCUCGAAAGUUAUAAGCCAGGGGGACAUUGGAUUGGUAUAACUCACAACCUGUUAAUUUUAACACGUUCUAUAAAUAUU